GUUACCAGCAGUUUUCUGGGUUGUGAAAUUUGUAGUUUUUAUUUCAUUAUAUUUUCUGGGUUUUUCUAGGUUUUCAGCAACAAAUACUGACAAAAGGAAAUGAACAGUUUUCAGAGACUUACUUUAAAACAGAGUUAAAGGAAUACACAUGAAAUUGGUAACAGUGGCUGCCUCUGGGGUCGGCAUAGGAGCAGGCCUUCCCUUGCAGCUUGCGCCCUCCCGUACCUUUUAAAUUUUGUACCAGGCAGGUAUUACUUAUUCAAAAAUAAAUCUUUGUUGAGGUUUCAUUCUCACGAUAUCUGCAAAUCAACGUUUUUUCCUUCACACUAAAAACGGGCAACUUUAGAGCCCACUAAAGCUAUACAAAAUUGGGAGGGGGCAUGCUCUGAUUUUCCAUUUUUAGUUCCAGGGUCCGUAUGCAGGACUUAUUUGCAGGAAGAGCAGGAAUGAUCAGUUCAACAAGAAAAGCCACACUCAGUUUUCACAGACAGACAACCCCUCCUUCCCACCCCUGCCCUGUCCCCCAUCAACUUAAGUGGCAUAUAAAUGAUUAAAGUGGCUUCAUUAACUCCAGGAGUGUGGCCUGUGCUAGGGCACCUGAUUUGUGCUAGACGAGGCCAGCAGAAGAGCAAUCGCUCUGCAAGAGAAAGGCUCGGCCCUUCCUUAAUCACCAUGGGUUAUAAUUCACCCUGACGUCCUUACACACAUGGAGGUGCCAGGAUACUGAGCUUUCCUAUAAGCAGGGCCUCAGCAGAAGUGCCUCCCUCCGAGCCUCCAGGGCCUGAGAGGAGAGCCCC
rnacentral:lncRNA from 10 species